CCCUAUGGGGUGCAGCAGGAACCAAAAGCCUUACUGAAGCCAGGGCAGAACUGGUAAAAAUGACUGAAAUAAAAGAAAAGACAGAGGAAGAACAGAAAGUGCUUUUGCAGGAAAAGGCAGUUUUGGGGCAGGAAACUAGGAAACUUGAAUCCUCUGUGGCCUCUCUUAAAGAUGAGGCUGAACGCCUCAAAUCAGAUAUACAGCGUCUGAGAGAGGGAAGGAUAGCUGCUUUGACCGGAGAAAAACUGGCACAGGGCGUGAUAGCCGGACCGGAAGUUACUUCCCAUCAGGUAGAUCAGGCUCUGGAAAGGCUGAUAGAAGAAACGCAGGCACUGCUGGCUUACCGUUUUGGGAUAAAACCUGAGUCAAUAAAAAAACCGAUAGUUGAUAAAAGUUCUGUGGACAAGGCAAAGUCCGUCCUCUUAAAGAACCCCGGACGUUGGCUGCUCAGGCUGAGGGCACUCUCUAAUGAAUGGGCGGGAGGGC
rnacentral:rRNA from 1 species